CCUANGGGGGGCUGCAGAGGAGGAUCAUCCGCAAUGGGCGAAAGCCUGACGGUGCGACGCCGCGUGGGCGAUGAAGGCCUUCGGGUCGUAAAGCCCUGUGAACGACUAUGAAAGGUCGAGGGUAAAUAGCCCUUGAACGUGACUCGUCUUAAAGCAAGGCGCGGCUAACUACGUGCCAGCAGCAGCGGUAAUACGUAGGCGCCAAGCGUUGUUCGGAAUUACUGGGCGUAAAGGGCGCCUAGGCGGGCCCUUAAGUCGGGUGUGAAAUCCCUUGGCUCAACCAAGGAACUGCGCCCGAUACUGGGGGCCUUGAGUGCAGGAUGGGAGAGUGGAACUCCUGGUGUAGCGGUGAAAUGCGUUGAUAUCAGGAUGAACGCCGGUGGCGAAAGCGGCUCGCUGGUCUGUCACUGACGCUGAAGCGCGAAAGCUAGGGGAGCAAACGGGAUUAGAUACCCUUNUAGUC
rnacentral:rRNA from 1 species